rnacentral:lncRNA from 12 species
UUGGCCUGGGGACAGACAGAGAGAGGCUGAGAGAAGAGUGGAGACCACAGAAGCACAUGACACAAGUGCCUCCUGGGGAAUCGUUUGCAGCUUCUGUCAGCUAAUACCAUAUCAAAGAGCAUUCAUUAGAGACCCGCCUCAACAAAUAUGAAAACACUGGAACAUUAUAAGUUUGCAAUAACAUCAACAAACAUCUGAAAUGCACAUUCAACACUGCAUAAUGAUCAGCUUCAUUCUGAUGAACUCUACAGAUAUACACAAAACAGUGUUCAAAAGGUAGAAUUUGAGCAGUCUUCCUGACUUCAAAAACAUGCAUGGACCAUGACGGAAAGUCGGCAACUCAUACCAAACAUGUACACAGAACGACAUUCCAGUGCAGGACCUUCUCGUGUUGUUCACGUGUUACAUUAGCCUCCCUGCUAAGGGUCAGCGCACUUCGCUGAGUGAGGGCUAUUUCUAAACUCCAUGUUGGUUAUUUUGUUUUCUGUUGCCAGUUUCAUCAAUUCUGUUUGAUGGACUUGACUAAAAGACCACCAUGUUUUCCCUUCACUGCAUUCUGAGUUUGCGGACCCGAGACGUUCAAAAGAGAGCAGCUAUAGGUGGAGCUCAUCUCUGGAAGGCUUUUGUCUCUGGCGCCGAAGCAGGAGCUCAGAGAGACACCGAUGCGCAUCAUUGCGCCCUCAAACAGGUUUCCCGCGCACCCUCCUCACAAUAAGUGAUCGAUUCCUAGGACUGGACACAGGAUGGAAAAAAAUCAUAUAAAACCUAAUAUUUCUGCUUCUUCUGGUGCUGUUCUACGACAUAAAUGAAGCACUUCACGGGGUCUCCAAAAUGGCUUUGGAUAACUUUUGACACUUUGAAUUAAAGGUUUAGUCAGUCAUAGGCACUAAAACAGAUUAAACAACAUGAAAAUAAUAAUAAUAUAAUAAUGUUAUGUGUAAUAUUCCUUUUGUGGAAAAUUAAGAUAAUCGAUGCAACAAAGUCACUUAAUUUUCCAGACAAUUUGUAUUAUUGUUAUUUCUACCCAAUUGUGCGUAAAGUGAUCAAAACGCAAAGAUGAAUAUUACAUUAGCAAAUCAUUUAUCAUGUUUACAACUUUUGGAGAGGUGAAGAGAGAAUUAUGUUCAACAAACAAAAGACGAAAUUUAAACGUGAAAUAAUAAUAAUAAAACAAACAAACAAAUAAACAUGAAUUAAUUAAAGAUGACGACGAAGAUCUGGAAUCAAGAUUAGAUUAAAUUUCUCGAUUAAACCCGAAUCGAGAUCUUAAAACUUUUUUCCAGAUAUAAAGCUGUUGCGUCUCCAUAGAAAAGACAUUACAGUAAGUCUGACCACUAAAGGAAAUCUGCCCUUCUUAAAAUUGUUUUUUUUUUUUUAAGAAAACUAGAACUACUUAAGGCCAUGCUCUCUCAUACAGACGCACACACACAUGCAGACACCAUUUGUCUCUCACGCUCAAACAAAGUUAUGUUUAAAUCCGCUUGCUGCUUCAUUGUCAAAAGUCUGCAGCUGUUUUUGCUCCAGCUUGACUGUCUAAUGGCACACAAGUGUGAUGCAGGUCAGAUCUAAAUGGGAUAAUAGCAGCAGCAGGGUUAAGCGUCUUUUGCUUCAGUGUAUUGGAAAGGAAACAUACUUCAGUCUUAUCAUGGUCAAAGAUGUUUCGAAAUAUAUUUAAAUAUAUAUAAGACAUUUUUAAUUGUGCAGAACAGAUGGAUUUGCAUUGAGCAGAUGAGCAUGAGUCAUUUUGCAUGAUUUUUAUUUUCAUAAGGACCUUGUGGGAGAAUUUAUUCUUGAGCUAUAUACCAAUCCUACUCUUUACUAACUCUGCAGGAUUUUUUCGGAACACACCAUUUAAAAAAUCAAAGUGAAAGAUUCCGAGUAUAAACUAAAAUGAUUCGAUAGGACGUAAAGAACUUUUUCUGGUUUAGAAAAUCAUCUAAAUCAAUACUGAUCUGGACCUAUAAUGUAACAUUCAUGUUUACAUUAACAGACUUGAAAAUUGUGUGCAGUAAAACAAUGUUCUUGAUGAGAUGAUGUUUCUCUGUUGAAUUGAGGAAUACUUGAAGAACUUUUAUUUUUCAAGCACGCAUAAAUGAUUACGUUGGUUUGGAAUAGCUAUCGAAAAUGUAUCGUGUGAUAUUAGAGGCUGUUUUUCUCCUGCUAUGAAACUGUAUAUGCGUUUCCUCUGUGGAUUGUAGGAAGGAUCAUUACAUCCCGCCCCGGUAACGUGACAUCACCGGGCAGAAGAACUGCCUUGUGCUGCCGGACUACAAGAAAAACACAACCGUUUAACACCCACGAGUGGCGGUCCUCACCUCUCUUCAUGCAAAUCAAGCAGCCAUGACAAAAUGGGAGAUUAAUCGACACAUUUAGGUAUGUUUACUUGAAAUUGUUGGUUAUCUAAACAAUUGUUCAACAGGGCUUACUGCUCGAAGCUUCCAUUUGAAUCGGGAAUAACA